rnacentral:rRNA from 1 species
AAGCUCGUAGUUGAAUUUCGGGGUUCUACCGUUGGUCGGGCUAACCAGUCUGUACUAGCGUGUAGAAUUCCUACCUUCUGGGGAACCAUUAUGUUAUUAAUUUAGCGUGGUGGGAAACCAGGACUUUUACCUUGAAAAAAUUAGAGUGUUCAAAGCGGAGGCUUACGUCUGAAUACAUUAGCAUGGAAUAAUAAAAUAGGACGGUGGUCCUGUUUUGUUGGUUUCUGAAUCACCGUAAUGAUUAAUAGGGAUAGUUGGG